CCUACGGGGGGCAGCAGUGGGGAAUAUUGGACAAUGGGGGGAACCCUGAUCCAGCCAUGCCGCGUGUGUGAAGAAGGCCCUCGGGUUGUAAAGCACUUUCAGUGAGGAAGAACGCCUGGUGGUUAAUACCCAUCAGGAAAGACAUCACUCACAGAAGAAGCACCGGCUAACUCCGUGCCAGCAGCCGCGGUAAUACGGAGGGUGCGAGCGUUAAUCGGAAUUACUGGGCGUAAAGCGCGCGUAGGUGGCUUGAUAAGCCGGUUGUGAAAGCCCCGGGCUCAACCUGGGAACGGCAUCCGGAACUGUCAAGCUAGAGUGCAGGAGAGGAAGGUAGAAUUCCCGGUGUAGCGGUGAAAUGCGUAGAGAUCGGGAGGAAUACCAGUGGCGAAGGCGGCCUUCUGGACUGACACUGACACUGAGGUGCGAAAGCGUGGGUAGCAAACAGGAUUUGAUACCCUAGUAGUC
rnacentral:rRNA from 1 species